rnacentral:rRNA from 2 species
UAAGCGGAGGAAAAGAAACCAACAGGGAUUGCCCUAGUAACGGCGAGUGAAGCGGCAACAGCUCAAAUUUGAAAUCUGGCUACCUUUCGUAGUCCGAGUUGUAAUUUGUAGAGGAUGCUUUUGGUGAGGUGCCUUCCGAGUUCCCUGGAACGGGACGCCAUAGAGGGUGAGAGCCCCGUACGGUUGGAUACCAAGCCUCUGUAUAGCUCCUUCAACGAGUCGAGUAGUUUGGGAAUGCUGCUCUAAAUGGGAGGUAUAUCUCUUCUAAAGCUAAAUAUAGGCUAGAGACCGAUAGCGCACAAGUAGAGUGAUCGAAAGAUGAAAAGCACUUUGAAAAGAGAGUUAAACAGCACGUGAAAUUGUUGAAAGGGAAGCGCCUAUGACCAGACUUGUUUCUGGCAGUUUCGUUAGCCCUCGGGCUGAUUUACUCUGUCCAGUACAGGCCAGCAUCAGUUUGCUGUCGGGGAGAAAGGCUCUGGGAACGUAGCUCCCCCCUUCUGGGGGGAGUGUUAUAGCCCUCUGCAUAAUACCCUUCGGCAGACUGAGGACCGCGCUUCGGCAAGGAUGCUGGCGUAAUGGUCAUCAGCGACCCGUCUUGAAACACGGACCAAGGAGUCAACCUUAUGUGCGAGUGUUUGGGUGUAAAACCCCAGCGCGUAAUGAAAGUGAACGUAGGUGAGAGCUUCGGCGCAUCAUCGACCGAUUCUGAUGUUUUCGGAUGGAUUUGAGUAAGAGCACACAGGGUUGGACCCGAAAGAAGGUGAACUAUGCUUGUAUAGGGUGAAGCCAGAGGAAACUCUGGUGGAGGCUCGCAGCGGUUCUGACGUGCAAAUCGAUCGUCAAAUAUGAGCAUGGGGGCGAAAG